rnacentral:lncRNA from 1 species
CUUCAGAUAAGCUUGAAAGGAAGUAGCAUUUUUUGAUCAUCCUAUUUAGUCACCACACAUCCUUUCUUAAAAAGGUAAUGUUACUCCCAUUUUACUAAUGUGUACACUAAUCUUUCUCAAAAUCAGGCAUCUGCUGAGUGUUAUGCUUUGCUUUGUACCAUGGUGCUUCCUAAGAGAAUAUGGAGUUGCACAACUUUUGGCAGGAGAAAUGAACUCUAAACUAAGAAGAGUAUUGUUCACUUUUUAUGCCAUAGAGAUAAGGAAGUUAGUCUCUCUUGGAGGAAUCCAACUUAAUUCUUACUGAGGAGUAUAAUAUCUAGUCAUAAGGCUGUUCCUCUGCUUCCUGAGGAAGUGAAAUUCUUCACUGAAUUUGGUGGUGGCCUUCCAUUUUUAAAUAUAGUAAAAGCUUGCAUUAGUAAAAAAAAAGUUAAAAACCAUGGAAAAUGCAAACUAUUUGAUUUUAAGAAGAUUCUCAUACUCCUCAUUGAUGAAAAAGUCUACCAAGUUUUGUUCCUGCUGUAAUAAUCAUGAAUUUUCCACAUAACUAUAGUUUCUGAAGGAAAUGAAUUAGUUUACCAUUAAUGAUGAAAGGUAAAAAUGGUAAAUGUGAUGAAAGGUUCAGGUUUUAUAAGCUGUAGGAAAAGUCUUAGUUUCUAAAGUAUAAAAAACAUUUUGAAAGUUGAAUUAAAUUGAACUCAUUCUUGUUGUUAAGAUUUCUUUAAAUGCUCUGCCUGCUAUGGGUUAUAAUUCUUGGUUUCAAGUACUAAUUGGAGAUGUUACUUCCAUAUUAAACUGUGAACUGAAAAACAUGCUUGUGAAUUCCUUUAUAAAUGGCUCUUUUAAUUACAGCUCUUUUAAAAAGGAGUUAACACUUAAGUAUAUAUUAAUUCUUGACAAGGACCUAUUGAACCUAAGUAAAAGGUGUUUUAAAAAGGCAGGUAGCUGUUAGUGUUAUGUGAGAAUCUGAAACUAGGAGAGUAAUUAUUAUAUGAAUUUCUUAAUCUUUUGUUUUUUCAAAAAUGGAAAUAUCCCUUUAUUAUUAUAAAAGCAAUUCUUAAACCUUAAAAAGUAUUCAAACAAUACUGAAUGGUAUAAGUUAAAAAGUAAAAGCCUCCCAUAAUAUUACCCCCUGAUUACAGUUUGAUAUGUAUUCUUGCAUAACUUUUUCUUUGUAAUAAUUCUAAACCUAUAUUGCUUUCUACACACAGUUUCAAUAGGAUUAAUUAUACAUGCUACAUAUACUAUUCUUUAAUUUGAUUUUUCUUACUGAAUAUUGAUCUACUGAUCUAUUUUCAGCUUCAAUAAUUACUAAUUUAGCUCUUAGGUUAUUGAUUUGUUUCUCUUGCUAUUUUACAACAGUUGUGAAGAAAUACCUCUUUUGUAUGUUUUUGUACACUUUAUUUCUUUAGGCUAAAUUCAUACCAAUAGAAUUAUUAAGGGAAAGAGGGAAAGGUGAUGCAUAAAUUUCCAUAUGCCUUCAUGAACUGCUCCUCUAAAAGGUUUCACCAGUUUGUUCAUUUAUUGGUAUUGCAUGAACACGUUUUUUUGACUUAUUGAUGUACAAUACUAUGAAUAAUCAGUUUUUGCUAAUCACGUAAGAAAAAAGAAAUGUGUUUCUUUGGUUAUUAGUGAGGUUGAAAAAUGUCAUCUUUGGAAUCUAUUUCUCUUGGGAAUAGCUUUCUUAUAACAUUUGCCACAUUUUUCUUAAGGUACUUAUUUCUCAUAUUGAUUUAAAGAAUUUUUAAUAUGUUCUUGAUAUAUGUGGUAAAUAUAGUUGUGCCUUGGUAUCCAUGGUGGAUUGGUGCCAGGACUCCUGUGGAUACCAAAAUCUGAGGAUGCUCAAGUUUCUUAUGUAAAUUGGCCUGUUAUGGUGGGCCCUUGGUAUCUGCAAAUUCUGCAGCCACAGAUAUGACAGACUGAGUGUAUUUACAUUUUUUUGUUUUAUUUUUAUUGUGAUAUUUGUUGUAAAAAAUAUCUUAAAACUUGACAUAUUUACAUAUGUCAUUCUUGUUGUCUAUGGUUUCUCGCUUUUGUUUCCAUACUAAGAAUAAAAAUCACAGCUAAUGUUUGUUGGGCACCUAAUCACUUUACAUGUACAUCCUCACUGAACCCUCACAACAAUCCUAUGAAUAGGAUACUAUUAAUUCUCCUUUAAUAGUUGAUGGGUAAGUAAUUUAUUCAAGGUUAUAUAGUUUUAAGUGAUAAUGCUACAGUUCAAAUACAGGUAAUCAGAUACCUCCCAGACCCCAAGAUUACUGAAACAGACAAUAAAAGUUCCUCUAUUGUUUCUAUGUUUUGCUUUCGUUAUACAUUUUUAAAUAUAAUAAUUCCUAUUGAAUUUAUCUUUUUAACACUGUGAUGUGACAAUGUUUAAUUUCAUUUUCUUACACUAAGUCUAUAUAUACACAUUUAUAGACUUUUUUAUUAUGUAAUCAUUAUUUCUUUGCUAGUGUCAUACUGUUUAAAUUACUUUAGUUUUAGAGUAAUUUUCAUAUCUAAAGGAAAGUCUCCAUUAUUUUUUUUCUCUUUAAAAACUCCUCUUGACUAUUCUUACACUUUUCUUCCAGAAUCAAUUCGUUAAAGUCAGUUUGCAAAUUCUCCGCUAAAAUAGUGUGUAAUUGCAAUAAUUGUAAUUGAACAAUUAGCAUCUUUACAAUAUUGAUCAUUUUAUUCAGGAAAAGAGUAUGCCUUUUAAUUAAUGUUCUUAGUGAAGUUGUACAGUUGUCUUCAUUUAGAUUUUGGACAUUUUAUUUUAAGUGUAUUCUUGAUUUAGAUCUUGAUUGUACUGAUUAUCAUUCAUAUUUAUAACUAUGUGCCAUUUUGACAGUGGGUGUAUGUUACUUAUCAUUAAUGUUUAUUAAUUUGAUUUCCAUUUUGUGAUUUAUUAUACUAAUUUGUGUCUUCUUUUUGUAUACUGCAUAGCAGAGAGUGAGGAAUGGUUUCAAUAUCUUGGUGGCCAAAGACUCUACUUAAUGACCUAUUAGCAUCUGAAAAUCCAGUUUUCCUGUACAUUGUACAAUUUGUAGAUAUUCUCAUAGUUAUUGGUUGAUUUGGAUCCUGGAUAUCCAUUUAAAAUUAUAUUUGAAACCACAGUGGUCUUCAAAGAUCAAAAUUCUUCAAAAUCAAACUGAAAGUCACAGGGCGCACCAUUUAAAUAUUCAAAAUUUCACAUUUAAAUUGUCAGCAGAGUAGUUCUAUGUGAACAGAUUUGAUUUUUUUCCAAGCUGUGAAUGCUUUUUCCAUACAUGUGGGUUAUAGGAAGAGUUCAGUAUUCCCUUGAGACUGAGGCUACAAUAACGUCACACACAUCACACACAGAACUCUUUGCUGUUCCUUCCAUUGCUGUGUCUCAGAAGACCAAGAGAAAGGGCACCUUAGUUUACACUUUCUUUACAAAGCAUUGCCAAAGAGUGUAGAAUUAGAAGUGAAUGGAGAGUGUCUUGGAAAUUGAAUUCCUAAAAGAAAUAUGACGCUGGAAAGUAAUUAUAGUAGUGAAAUAAGUCCAGGGGAAGCCAGAAAGAGGAGAAAGGAUAAUGAAGAA